rnacentral:rRNA from 1 species
AUACGUAGGUGGCAAGCGUUGUCCGGAAUUAUUGGGCGUAAAGGGCGUGUAGGUGGAUUUUUAAGUCGUGUGUCUAAGUGCGGGGCUCAACCCCCGUAUAGGCGCAGGAAACCGGAGAUCUUGAGUGCAGGAGAGGAAAGUGGAAUUCCCAGUGUAGCGGUGAAAGUGCGUAGAUAUUGGGAGGAACACCAGUGGCGAAGGCGACUUUCUGGACUGUGUCUGACACUGAGGCGCGAAAGCCAGGGGAGC